UUCCAACAUAUACUGGAGUCAAUUUUUUUUAAUUUUUAUCUCUCAAAUUUGAAAGCCCGCUCUGUCUUUAAGCCCGAUCAUUCAGUCAUUCGGUCAAACUCUGAGCUUUCUCAAGUCUCGAGCAGUUCGCCCCUUCUCUUUUCUUUCCCUCUCAUCAGAUCUAGAAUCGUAGAAAGCUAGAGCAGUUGCAGAAGGCAUGGACCCAAAAGCCGUGAAAUCGGACCUAGUCCUCAUCCUCGACUACGGCUCCCAAUACACCCACCUCAUCGCUCGCCGCAUCCGAUCCCUCUCCGUCUUCUACCUCACCAUCUUCAGCACCAGCCCCCUCAAGCCCAUCACAUGGAGACAAAUUGGGUUUAAACCCCAGAGUAAUUGAGUGUUGGAGAGCCGAUUUCAGCCCUCUCUGUUCCAAUUUCCAAAAGGUAGCAAAUUCCAUCCCUAACCCAGAGUUCGAUUUCGAUUCGCAGCAGUCAAUUUGAGCUAGAUUGGAGGUCGAUUCGCAGUAGGCUAUUUGAAGGUAUUGGAGUUGGAUACUUGGAUUCGCAACAGGCCAUUUGAAGAUUGUGCCAGCAAUAACUGAGCUUCUGAAUGCUCAAUUUAUGUGGAUGGAUUAUGAUAACCCCUUGAAGACUAUAUAUCUGUACAUAAAUUCAUUUGGAACACAGUGAGAGAGAAAAGCAAGCAACAUGUACACACAAAAUGAUAUUGAUGAGGUUCGGGCCGAGUGGGCACAAGAUAUAUAUAUAUAUCUGCUUUUGGACAUGCAUCACCUAUAUAACCCAGAUUUGAAAGCUAUAGGGACUAGUUUUUUGCGUUACAUGCUCGAUACUGUGAUGUUUGUUGGGUUGUCUUUAUCGAUCAUGUCUUUUGUUUCAUGGAUGGGUUGAAUUGAACUGAUGCAUAGCAGGUUGUGUUAUAUACUGAAUGAUGAGAUGGCAUUUUCUGGAUUUCCAGAUUACCUAAUGAACAGUACAUAAUGAUUUUUCA